UGAAGUCGGACGCUUAACCGACUGCGCCACCCAGGCGCCCCUUUGUGUGGGUGUGUUCUGAAGGACUUGUAUACAAGUUCGUAACUGCAAAUGCCAAACCUUGUUUGUCUUUCUGCAAAACCAGCGACCAGUCCACACACCUGAUUGGUGCGCGAGCCUCCCCGUGUUUUCCUCCUAACAUCACAGCUAAGCAGAAAUGCUCAAGCCAGAGAAAGCUUCACCUGCCAAACCUCAACAGGGGCCGGAAGCAAGACUUUCCUCUUGAAUACAGGUUUCACUCAAGGUUGGGUAACUGAAAUAGAACACAGCACUGCUCCCGACUUGCAAAUCUAACCACCAGGUAAACAAUAAAAUGAAUUUUCAGC